rnacentral:rRNA from 1 species
CUACACGUAAGGAGUCGUCGGCAGCGUCAGAUGUGUAUAAGAGACAGGUGGAGGACCGAACCAGUUGACGUUGAAAAGUCUUUGGAUGACCUGUGGGUAGGGGUGAAAGGCCAAUCAAACUCGGAAAUAGCUCGUACUCCCCGAAAUGCAUUUAGGUGCAGCGUAUUAUUAGUUUUAUAGAGGUAGAGCUACUGAUUGGAUGCGGGGGCUUCACCGCCUACCAAUUCCUGACAAACUCCGAAUGCUAUAAAAUGAUGUAAUGCAGUGAGGGCAUGGGUGCUAAGGUCCAUGUCCGAGAGGGAAAGAACCCAGACCAUCAGCUAAGGUCCCAAAAUGUAUGUUAAGUUGAAUAAACGAGGUUGGAUUGCAUAGACAGCUAGGAUGUUGGCUUGGAAGCAGCCAUUCAUUUAAAGAGUGCGUAACAGCUCACUAGUCGAGCGAUCCGGCAUGGAUAAUAAUCGGGCAUAAACAUACUACCGAAGCUAUGGACUUGUAAAAGUGGUAGGGGAGCAUUGUAGUGUCGUCGAAGGUGAAGCGUGAGCUUUGCUGGAGAAGCUACAAAAGAAAAUGUAGGCAUAAGUAACGAUAAUGCGGGCGAGAAACCCGCACACCGAAAGACUAAGGUUUCCUCAGCUAUGCUAAUCAGCUGAGGGUUAGUCGGGACCUAACGCGAACCCGAAAGGGGUAGUGGAUGGACAACAGGUUAAUAUUCCUGUACCUGCUCACGCUAAAAGUGACGGAGGCGAAAAGUUAGUGCGCACAGACGGAAUUGUGCGUUGAAGCCAGUGGUAACACGGCGAUAGUACACUAAGGCUUCGGCUGCGGUGAUAAUCUAGCAAAUCGACUUCCAAGAAAAGCAAGUGAAGCAGCCCGUACCCUAAACCGACACAGGUAGUUGGGAUGAGAAUUCUAAGGUGCUCGAGAGAUUCAUGGCUAAGGAACUAGGCAAAAUCGACCCGUAACUUCGGGAGAAGGGUCGCCCAUCUUCGGAUGGGCCGCAGUGAAGAGGUCCAGGCGACUGUUUAUCAAAAACACAGGGCUCUGCUAAAUCGAAAGAUGAUGUAUAGGGCCUGACACCUGCCCGGUGCUGGAAGGUUAAGUGGAGGGGUUAGCUUCGGCGAAGCUCUGAAAUGAAGCCCCAGUAAACGGCGGCCGUAACUAUAACGGUCCUAAGGUAGCGAAAUUCCUUGUCGGGUAAGUUCCGACCUGCACGAAUGGUGCAACGAUCUGGACACUGUCUCAGCCAUGAGCUCGGUGAAAUUGUAGUAUCGGUGAAGAUGCCGAUUACCCGCUGUGGGACGAAAAGACCCCGUGCACCUUUACUAUAGCUUAGUAUUGGUUUUGGAUAAGUAAUGUGUAGGAUAGGUGGGAGACUUUGAAGUGGCGUCGCUAGGCGUUGUGGAGUCAUUGUUGAAAUACCACCCUUUGCUUAUCUAGAGUCUAACUUUCCUUGAAAGGACAGUGCUUGGUGGGUAGUUUGACUGGGGUGGUCGCCUCCAAAAGAGUAACGGAGGCUUCUAAAGGUGCCCUCAGCACGCUUGGUAACCGUGCGUAGAGUGCAAUGGCAUAAGGGCGCUUGACUGAGAGACAUACAGGUCGAUCAGGUACGAAAGUAGAGCAUAGUGAUCCGGUGGUUCCGUAUGGAAGGGCCAUCGCUCAAAGGAUAAAAGGUACGCCGGGGAUAACAGGCUGAUCUCCCCCAAGAGCUCACAUCGACGGGGGGGUUUGGCACCUCGAUGUCGGCUCGUCACAUCCUGGGGCUGGAGAAGGUCCCAAGGGUUGGGCUGUUCGCCCAUUAAAGUGGCACGCGAGCUGGGUUCAGAACGUCGUGAGACAGUUCGGUCUCUAUCUACAGUGGGCGUUAGAAAUUUGAGUGGAUCUGUUCCUAGUACGAGAGGACCGGAAUGGACUAACCUCUGGUGUACCAGUUGUUCCGCCAGGAGCAUUGCUGGGUAGCUACGUUGGGAAGGGAUAAGCGCUGAAAGCAUAUAAGCGCGAAACCCACCACAAGAUGAGAUUUCUUUAAAGGAUCGUGGGAGAUUACCACGUUGAUAGGCUAUAGGUGUAAAGGCAGUAAUGUCAUAGCCGAGUAGUACUAAUAAUCCAUAGGCUUAUUG